rnacentral:rRNA from 1 species
AUUGAACGCUGGCGGCAGGCCUAACACAUGCAAGUCGAACGAGUGGCGGACGGGUGAGUAAUGUCUGGGAAACUGCCUGAUGGAGGGGGAUAACUACUGGAAACGGUAGCUAAUAACGCAUACCAUCGAUUGUGCCCAGCUGGGAUUAGCUAGUCGGUGGGGUAAAGGCUCACCUAGGCGACGCUCCCUAGCUGGUCUGAGAGGCUGACCGGCCACACGGGAACUGAGACACGGUCCAGACUCCGACGGGAGGCAGCAGUGGGGAAUAUUGCACAAUGGGCGCAAGCCUGAUGCAGCCAUGCCGCGUGUAUGAAGAAGGCCUUCGGGUUGUAAAGUACUUUCAGCGGGGAGGCGUUACCCGAAGAAGAAGCACCGGCUAACUCCGUGCCAGCAGCCGCGGUAAUUC